UCCUCAAGCCAGAAGCCUGAUGGGAGAAU
rnacentral:piRNA from 2 species